rnacentral:rRNA from 1 species
UACGGGAGGCAGCAGUGGGGAAUAUUGCACAAUGGGCGCAAGCCUGAUGCAGCCAUGCCGCGUGUAUGAAGAAGGCCUUCGGGUUGUAAAGUACUUUCAGCGGGGAGGAAGGCGAUGUGGUUAAUAACCGCAUCGAUUGACGUUACCCGCAGAAGAAGCACCGGCUAACUCCGUGCCAGCAGCCGCGGUAAUACGGAGGGUGCAAGCGUUAAUCGGAAUUACUGGGCGUAAAGCGCACGCAGGCGGUCUGUCAAGUCGGAUGUGAAAUCCCCGGGCUUAACCUGGGAACUGCAUUCGAAACUGGCAGGCUAGAGUCUUGUAGAGGGGGUAGAAUUCCAGGUGUAGCGGUGAAAUGCGUAGAGAUCUGGAGGAAUACCGGUGGCGAAGGCGGGCCCCUGGGACAAAGCUGACGCUCAGGUGCGAAAGCGUGGGGAGCAAACAGGGAUUAGGAUAACCCGGU